rnacentral:rRNA from 1 species
GGACGAACGCUGGCGGCGUGCCUAAUACAUGCAAGUCGAACGGUCUUUCUAUGGAAGCUUGCUUCCACUGAGAAGAUAGUGGCGAACGGGUGAGUAACACGUGGGUAACCUGCCCAUAAGAGGGGGGAUAACAUCCGGAAACGGGUGCUAAUACCGCAUAGUUUUCUUGAUCGCAUGAUCGGGAAAGGAAAGACGGCCUUUGUGCUGUCGCUUAUGGAUGGACCCGCGGCGUAUUAGUUAGUUGGUGAGGUAACGGCUCACCAAGACGAUGAUACGUAGCCGACCUGAGAGGGUGAUCGGUCACAUUGGGACUGAGACACGGCCCAAACUCCUACGGGAGGCAGCAGUAGGGAAUCUUCCGCAAUGGACGAAAGUCUGACGGAGCAACGCCGCGUGAGUGAAAGAAGGUUUUCGGAUCGUAAAACUCUGUUGUCAGAGAAGAACAAGUUGGAGAGUAACUGCUCCAGCCUUGACGGUAUCUGACCAGAAAGCCACGGCUAACUACGUGCCAGCCGCGGC